rnacentral:misc_RNA from 1 species
CACAAUAAACAUAUGAAGGCUGCACCGCCAACAGGCGGCAAGGCUGGAGUAUUUAUUACCCUUGUCUUUUGCGCACUUGUUGUUUCCUGGGCGGGUUCGCCCGCCUCCAGGACCACAUGAUAAACCUUUUUAUGCAGUUGCAAUCAGCGUCAGUACAACAAAUGUAAAUCAUUUA